UAUCUUUCCUGUCCUGUAUGUCUGGUUUCCUUUGCAAAGAUCCAAGAAUGCAGGCAGGAAGGGAGCGGUAGCAUAGAGCAGUAACUCCUUGAUCUGAACAAACAUUGGACCAAGAACUGUGAGACACAAGAUUAAGAAAUGUUGAACAAAAACAACACAAAGGAUCUUCUCUACUUGCCAGUCUGGGAUAAGUAACAGUAACUCCAGUGCCUCAGCCUGAGGUAAGUCAUGCCUCCAUUGCUCACUCUGUAUGAGAAGGUUUAAACUGCUUCAGUGAAAGUAUUGGGCAGAAGGUUUAAAAUGAAACAAAAAGAAAUAAUUUUUUA